rnacentral:rRNA from 1 species
AUUGAACGCUGGCGGCAGGCCUAACACAUGCAAGUCGAACGAGUGGCGGACGGGUGAGUAAUGUCGGGGAAACGGCCUGAUGGAGGGGGAUAACUCCUGGAAACGGUAGCUAAUCCCGAAUACCAUGGGAGGUGCCAGGAGGGGAUUAGCUAGUAGGUGGGGUAAAGGCUCACCUAGGCGACGAUCCCUAGCUGGUCUGAGAGGAUGACCAGCCACACUGGAACUGAGACACGGUCCAGACUCCUACGGGAGGCAGCAGUGGGGAAUAUUGGACAAUGGGCGAAAGCCUGAUCCAGCCAUGCCGCGUGUGUGAAGAAGGUCUUCGGAUUGUAAAGCACUUUAAGUUGGGAGGCGUUACCAACAGAAUAAGCACCGGCUAACUUCGUGCCAGCAGCCGCGGUAAUAC